AGAGUUUGAUCCUGGCUCAGGAUGAACGCUAGCGGCAGGCUUAACACAUGCAAGUCGAGGGGUAUAGUUCUUCGGAAUUAGAGACCGGCGCACGGGUGCGUAACGCGUAUGCAAUCUACCUUUCACAGAGGGAUAGCCCAGAGAAAUUUGGAUUAAUACCUCAUAGUAUAUAGAGUUGGCAUCAACAUUAUAUUAAAGUCACAACGGUGAAAGAUGAGCAUGCGUCCCAUUAGCUAGUUGGUAAGGUAACGGCUUACCAAGGCAACGAUGGGUAGGGGUCCUGAGAGGGAGAUCCCCCACACUGGUACUGAGACACGGACCAGACUCCUACGGGAGGCAGCAGUGAGGAAUAUUGGUCAAUGGGCGCAAGCCUGAACCAGCCAUGCCGCGUGCAGGAUGACGGUCCUAUGGAUUGUAAACUGCUUUUGUACGGGAAGAAACAACGAUUCGUGAAUCGUCUUGACGGUACCGUAAGAAUAAGGAUCGGCUAACUCCGUGCCAGCAGCCGCGGUAAUACGGAGGAUCCAAGCGUUAUCCGGAAUCAUUGGGUUUAAAGGGUCCGUAGGCGGUUUAGUAAGUCAGUGGUGAAAGCCCAUCGCUCAACGGUGGAACGGCCAUUGAUACUGCUAGACUUGAAUUAUUAGGAAGUAACUAGAAUAUGUAGUGUAGCGGUGAAAUGCUUAGAGAUUACAUGGAAUACCAAUUGCGAAGGCAGGUUACUACUAAUGGAUUGACGCUGAUGGACGAAAGCGUGGGUAGCGAACAGGAUUAGAUACCCUGGUAGUCCACGCCGUAAACGAUGGAUACUAGCUGUUGGGAGCAAUCUCAGUGGCUAAGCGAAAGUGAUAAGUAUCCCACCUGGGGAGUACGUUCGCAAGAAUGAAACUCAAAGGAAUUGACGGGGGCCCGCACAAGCGGUGGAGCAUGUGGUUUAAUUCGAUGAUACGCGAGGAACCUUACCAAGGCUUAAAUGUAGAUUGACCGAUUUGGAAACAGAUCUUUCGCAAGACAAUUUACAAGGUGCUGCAUGGUUGUCGUCAGCUCGUGCCGUGAGGUGUCAGGUUAAGUCCUAUAACGAGCGCAACCCCUGUUGUUAGUUGCCAGCGAGUCAUGUCGGGAACUCUAACGAGACUGCCAGUGCAAACUGUGAGGAAGGUGGGGAUGACGUCAAAUCAUCACGGCCCUUACGCCUUGGGCUACACACGUGCUACAAUGGCCGGUACAGAGAGCAGCCACUGGGCGACCAGGAGCGAAUCUACAAAACCGGUCACAGUUCGGAUCGGAGUCUGCAACUCGACUCCGUGAAGCUGGAAUCGCUAGUAAUCGGAUGUCAGCCAUGAUCCGGUGAAUACGUUCCCGGGCCUUGUACACACCGCCCGUCAAGCCAUGGAAGCUGGGGGUGCCUGAAGUCGGUGACCGCAAGGAGCUGCCUAGGGUAAAACUGGUAACUAGGGCUAAGUCGUAACAAGGUA
rnacentral:rRNA from 1 species